rnacentral:rRNA from 1 species
GAUGAACGCUGGCGGCGUGCCUAAUACAUGCAAGUCGAGCGAACGGACGAGAAGCUUGCUUCUCUGAUGUUAGCGGCGGACGGGUGAGUAACACGUGGAUAACCUACCUAUAAGACUGGGAUAACUUCGGGAAACCGGAGCUAAUACCGGAUGAUAUUUUGUACCGCAUGGUUCAAAAGUGAAAGACGGUCUUGCUGUCACUUAUAGAUGGAUCCGCGCUGCAUUAGCUAGUUGGUAAGGUAACGGCUUACCAAGGCAACGAUGCAUAGCCGACCUGAGAGGGUGAACGGCCACACUGGAACUGAGACACGGUCCAGACUCCUACGGGAGGCAGCAGUAGGGAAUCUUCCGCAAAGGGCGAAAGACUGAAGGAGCAACGCCGCGUGAGUGAUGAAGGUCUUCGGAUCGUAAAACUCUGUUAUUAGGGAAGAACAUAUGUGUAAGUAACUGUGCACAUCUUGACGGUACCUAAUCAGAAAGCCACGGCUAACUACGUG